CACGGAGGGUGCAAGCGUUAUCCGGAUUCACUGGGUUUAAAGGGUGCGUAGGUGGGUUGGUAAGUCAGUGGUGAAAUCUCCGGGCUUAACUCGGAAACUGCCGUUGAUACUAUCAAUCUUGAAUAUUGUGGAGGUAAGCGGAAUAUGACAUGUAGCGGUGAAAUGCUUAGAUAUGUCAUAGAACACCGAUUGCGAAGGCAGCUCACUAAACUGUCACUGACGCUGAGGCACGAAAGCGUGGGGAGCAAACAGG
rnacentral:rRNA from 1 species